AAAACAAUGUUUCAGUUGAAAACGCAUCUUGUUUUCACGUAAGAGCCCUGUUCAUGUUGCAAAGACAUUUUAAUUGCAUUUUGUGUCUGUUAGGAGGCACAAUGGUACUC